ACCCACCAGUUUCCUUGCCCUGGAGAUCUAAACACUGGUCAGAGUGGUUAUCAAAAGAGGAAAAGUAACAUUGAAAGGGAUUUGAACGAUUUGUAGCACACGGGCUACUUUCGAACAGGU
rnacentral:snoRNA from 1 species